UACGAAGGGGGCUAGCGUUGUUCGGAAUUACUGGGCGUAAAGCGCGCGCAGGCGGUCCUUUAAGUCGGGGGUGAAAGCCCAGAGCUCAACUCUGGAACUGCCUUCGAAACUAGAGGACUUGGGUACGGGAGAGGUGAGUGGAAUUCCGAGUGUAGAGGUGAAAUUCGUAGAUAUUCGGAAGAACACCAGUGGCGAAGGCGGCUCACUGGCCCGUUACCGACGCUCAGGCGCGACAGCGUGGGAGCAAACAGG
rnacentral:rRNA from 1 species